rnacentral:lncRNA from 1 species
CUAGGGGAACCGAAAACAGUUCUAGACUGACCUGCGGUUUUAUUGCACUUUUGGCAGUCAACUUCAGCUUGUGUCAGAGCAGACAUGACAGAGCUGACCAACGGUUAAUCGGGAGACGCCACCUACUUGGAAUCACUGCCGUCCCCUCCGCAUUAAAUAAAUCCCAGAGCUGGGGGCUGAAUUG